GCCCCCAUAGUUCAAGGGAUAGAACGAGGGACUCCUAAGCCCUAGAUCUCCGUUCAACUCGGGGUGGGGGCACAA
rnacentral:tRNA from 6 species